rnacentral:snoRNA from 1 species
GUUGCUCCUCGAGGCGUUGCAGCACAGCUGAACGUGCUGUGUCUGUGUCAUGAGGGAAGCAAAGAGCAGCAGGGCGCUAGAAACUACACUUUGUACCCAUAAUUCCACAGUGCAAAGAAUGAAUGACAGCCCCUACAAA